AGAGUUUGAUCAUGGCUCAGGAUGAACGCUGGCGGUGUGGAUAAGGCAUGCAAGUCAAGGGACCUUGCUUCGGUAAGGGACCGGCGAAUGGGUUAGUAACACGUAGAUACAUACUCCAAAGACGGGGAUAGCUCGGAGAAAUCCGAGGUAAUACCCGAUAGUCCAAGCAUUCAGUUUACUGAAUGCUCGGUAAAGUUUUUUCGCUUUGGAAUUGGUCUGCGGCCUAUCAGCUUGUUGGUGAGGUAAUGGCUCACCAAGGCAGUGACGGGUAGGGGGUGUGAGAGCAUGGCCCCCAUACUUUGGGUAUUGGUUAACGGCCCAUACUCCUACGGGAGGCAGC
rnacentral:rRNA from 1 species